UUUGUACUCCCUCCGUCCCAUAAUUCUUGUCGAAAUAUUACAUGUAUCUAGAUGCUUUUUAGGAAUAGAUACAUCCAUUUUUGGGCAAAUUUGACUAUUUGAAACAAGAAUUAUGGGACGGAGGGGGUAUCAU
rnacentral:pre_miRNA from 1 species